GGAGAGAUGGCUCAGCAGUUAAGAGCACUUGGUUGUUCUUCCAGAGGCCCUGGGUUCUAUUCCCAGCAUCUACA
rnacentral:tRNA from 1 species